rnacentral:rRNA from 1 species
CACGGGGGGAGCAAGCGUUGUUCGGAAUCACUGGGCGUAAAGGGCGUGUAGGCGGUCAAGUAAGUGGAAUGUGAAAUGCCCCGGCUCACCCGGGGACCGGCAUCCCAAACUGCUUGGCUUGAGUAUGGGUGAGGAUGAGGGAAUUCCUGGUGUAGCGGUGAAAUGCGUAGAUAUCAGGAGGAACACCAGUGGCGAAGGCGGUUGCCUGGAGCUUUGCUGACGCUGAUGCGCGAAAGCGUGGGGAGCGAUCCGG